UACGUAGGGAGCAAGCGUUGUCCGGAAUUACUGGGCGUAAAGGGCGCGUAGGUGGGUAUUUAAGUUAGAUGUGAAAACUCCGGGCUCAACCUGGAGCCUGCAUUUAAAACUGGAUAUCUUGAGGGCAGGAGAGGAAAGUGGAAUUCCUAGUGUAGCGGUGAAAUGCGUAGAUAUUAGGAGGAACACCAGUGGCGAAGGCGACUUUCUGGACUGUACCUGACACUGAGGCGCGAAAGCGUGGGGAGCGAAC
rnacentral:rRNA from 1 species